GGCCAGGCUCCUACGGGAGGCAGCAGUGGGGAAUAUUGCACAAUGGGGGGAACCCUGAUGCAGCGACGCCGCGUGGGUGAAGGAGCACCUCGGUGCGUAAAGCCCUAUCGGCAGGGAAGAAAAGCGAACAGGUUCGCCUGGACGGUACCUGACUAAGAAGCCCUGGCUAACUACGUGCCAGCAGCCGCGGUAAUACGUAGGGGGCAAGCGUUAUCCGGAUUCACUGGGUGUAAAGGGAGCGUAGACGGCCAUGCAAGCCUGGAGUGAAAGCCCGGGGCCCAACCCCGGGACUGCUCUGGGAACUGUGCGGCUGGAGUGCGGGAGGGGCAGGCGGAAUUCCUGGUGUAGCGGUGAAAUGCGUAGAUAUCAGGAGGACCACCGGCGGCGAAGGCGGCCUGCUGGACCGCGACUGACGUUGAGGCUCGAAAGCGUGGGGAGCAAACAGGAUUAGAUACCCUAGUAUUG
rnacentral:rRNA from 1 species